UCCCAAGACCUGGAGGCUCUCUCCAGCUGC
rnacentral:piRNA from 1 species